AGCAGCCGCGGUAAUUCCAGCUCCAAUAGCGUAUAUUAAAGUUGUUGCAGUUAAAAAGCUCGUAGUUGAAUUUCGGGAUUGACACAUCGGUCGUGCCUUAAGGGUAUGAACUGGUGUAGUCAAUUUCUCACCUUCUGGAGAACCGCGAUGCCCUUAAUUGGGUGUCACGGGGAACCAGGACCUUUACUUUGAAAAAAUUAGAGUGUUUAAAGCAGGCAUUUUGCUUGAAUACAUUAGCAUGGAAUAAUAUAAUAGGACGGCAUGAUUCUAUUUUGUUGGUUUCUAGGAUCACCGUAAUGAUUAAUAGGGAUAGUUGGGGGCAUUAGUAUUCAAUUGUCAGAGGUGAAAUUCUUGGAUUUAG
rnacentral:rRNA from 1 species